UGGGAAGCAGGGAAGUGCAACCUCACAGAAACCUCUGGUCUGCUCUGAAGUCCUCCCACAGGCAACAAUUCCAAAGACUCAGUGGGGAGGCACAGAAGCCAGUGGUUCAGCAGCUGCAUCCCUGAUGGAGUGAGAGCAGGCCUGGCCAUAAAUCCACCUCCCAGCAGCCAGCAGGUUGCUGGAUUCCCUAAACCUCCUGUUUAUUAAACAAACAAACAAACAACAAACAGUAUGAGAAACAUGUUGGUAAAGAUGCUGAAAAAUACAAUUUUCAACUGAGUGAGGUUCUGCCUCUAGCUCACACUUGAAAACACCUGGGGAUCCUUUGAUGCCACUGUGGUAGGGGAUGGGAGAUGAAGGAUGCUUCUGAGGCCCAGAGAGCAAAGACCUGCAUCUUGCUGGACAUUCUGCAGGGUCCAAGAUGAGUCUCCAGGACAAAGUCAGAUUUGAAUUCCUAAUUUUCACAGGACUGAGUCAAGGUGUGGGAUAAUUGUUGAGAAGAGCUCAUGGGGUGCUGGAACAUGGCAGGAUCUCAGGGAACGGUUCUUACUGGUGUCUCGGUGUCCAUCUCUCUUGCUGUUUCCAGACCAAGGAAGAAAGCAACACCUCACCAUUCACUACAGUGAUCACUUCCACCCUCCUGUGAGGACCACAAUGCUUGGUAUUUAUCAAGGACUUGCAGUGGGAGGUACUUUUAUGCCACAGGAUAAGCAACAGUGGCCUCUGUUGGGAAUGGUUGACCUCCCAGCGCUCUCAAGGGCAGGAUGCUCUUUCUCUUGGGAUGUUUGCUGCUCUUCUCCUUCUCUAUUAUGGGCCUCCAGAGUUCAGAAGAGGCAUCAGAUCCCUGGACUUGGAGUUACAGAUGAUGGAGGAAGGUCACCGGAGAGAAGAUCAGGAUAGAAUCAUCCAGGUUCCAAAAAUCAAGCCUGUGUGGAGUGGAGUCCAAAAAUACCAGUGCAUAAAGAACAAUGGGCCUCCACACCUUUUCUUUGCUUCACAUUAGCCCACUCUGAUUGUUCAUUUUUGCAGGAAGAAUGUAACGGCAGUUUCCAACCUCAAACGCUAUCUCUUUUAAACAAAGAUGGCCAAAUUCACAUCACAAAGCGGAGAUUGCUUAGAAAAGCUGAAAAUCCAUGCAACAGCCUGCCUUUGGCAGCUUGUUCUCAACACUUAGUUUCCAGUACCAAUUAUGCUUGGGAAGGCCAGCUUCCUCCAGCACAGCUCUGAUAGUGCUGACCUCUAUGUCACAGGGACCUCGGGAGUAUUUUUUUUCUUACUUGAUUACAUUGUUUAAUUAAUUCUCUAUCGGGUGCCAAUCAGGCAGGGGUAAUUUUCACCCCGAUUUCACAGAUGAGAAACCCAAGGCAGAAGAACCACCCAAAGCAAUUAUAAACCAGGGCAACUUAGAUUCAGAAUGCAUGUUCUCAAAAAUGAAUGUCUCUCUGAUUUCAUAAGCAGCAAUUACCAGGUGACCCCAGAAUCUGGUUGUCCAAUUUAGAAUUAUUACGAUACCAAGGCCUUGGGCGUAAUCUCCUUAGAUUCAUUCAGUGUCAGCCUAAAUACAACCUCCCAGACAAGUUUGCUCCAACUCCACGGCAAGGUAUUCCUGCUACCAUGUCUUCUCCCUUCCCUGAGUGUUGUUUGCCAACCUGAACUGGAACCGCUAAGCAAUUAUUUGUGCAAUGACUUCAAAUAUGUCUUUUUAACUGUGAGUGAAGGUUGUUUGACUUGUA